UUUUUUUUCUGAUUGCAGAGGUCAUAUGUAUUCUGUGUGGAGAAUUUGGAAGAUGAAGAAAAGUACAAAUCCUAUCAACCGUAACAUCUCCUGCAUUUCAUAAAACAAUGAUAUCACUCUCAAAUGUGUAAAUGAGAGGCUUAUUUUAAGAACACAAUUUUUCUUUUCCAUUAAAUUUGCAUCUAGUAGAGUAAGCUUAGGGAGAAAUUAGCCCUUCUGAUUGUUAUUUAGCAUUAUUUUACUUUGUGUUUACUUACACACAUUUUUUUUUUUUAAUGGCCACACCAGCAGCAUAUGGAAAUUCCAGGGCCAGGGGUUGAAUCUGAGCUGCAGCUGUGGAAAUGCCAGAUCCUUUUAAAACCACUGUGCCAGGCCAGGGAUUAAGCCUGAAGUGUCUCAGCAGCUAUCCGAGCCAAUGCCGUCACAUUCUUAACCCACUGGGCCGCAGCGGGAACUCCUUCCUUACAUUAUUAUUACAUUAUUAUUACUAAAAGUAAACUCUCUUCCCGGAGCACUUAGCAUGUGUGGGGCAGAAUGCUAAGCACAGCACAUGAAUUAUCUCACUUUGUCCUCCCAAGAAACCCAGAAGAUUGGCAUGAAUUCCGUUAACUUAAUACAGGUGGGUUAGUGGAAGAAUCAGAGUGAUUAUAUAAGGCAGCCAAGGUCCCUCAGCUGGUAAUGUGGGAAACCAGGAUUCAUACCCAAUCCUCUGCAAUCAUUCCACUCCCUCAUCGGGGAAAGGAACGGAGGGAAGGAGGGAAUUUAUGGAACCUCGCCUUGUCAGUCCUGGUGCUGGUUGCGUGCCUUGCUGAUCGUGUUCAAUCUUCACAGCCCCACAAGAUUCUUGUCUCUGGAUGUCCCUCACACUAUCACAGUGGUGAAACUCUCUCACAGACUUGUCUCAUCUUUCAGCAGUAGGUAUUCAGAUCUAGGUAUGUAUACUCAAAGUUGGGGGGUAAAUGUUAAUCAGAUACACGUUGAUUUUCAAGCCAUUAAAACAGAUGACGGCUAAAUAUAUAAGGGUUAUAUGUAUUUUCACCUAGAAGUAAAACUACCAGAGCUCUAAACCAAAAGACAAGUUUGGGUCCCAGCUAUGCAUAUGGGUUUUGAGGUUUCGCGUCAGUUCAGUUUUGAAAAUCCAGACAAAGUAAUUUGUAAAUAAGUAAAAUAAUAAUUUGGUAGGUUGACUUUUUCACUUUUCAACCAGUUUUACGUUCCUUAGCUACAAUCUGUAUAUUAGCAAAUGACACAAUGAGGAGUUCUUGUUUUGGCUCAGUAGGUUAAAGACCCAACAUUGCCUCUGUGAGGAUGCAGGUUCAAUCCCUGGCUUGGCUCCUUGUGUUAAGGCAGCUUGGAUCCAGUGUUGCCAUGGCUGUGGUGUAGAUCCCAGCUGCAGCUCCAAUUUGAUCCCUGGCUUGGAAACUUUCAUAUGCCGCUGGUGCAACUGUGAAAAGAAAAAGAAAAAGAAAGAAAAUAACAUAAUGAUUGGUAGCGUGAGUUUACGAAUGAUAAUAAAUCCAAGAAAGAAAGGGAGAGAGGAAGGGAG
rnacentral:lncRNA from 1 species